UACGAGGGGGGCGAGCGUUGUUCGGAAUUACUGGGCGUAAAGAGUGUGUAGGCGGUGCUCUAAGUUCGGUGUGAAAUCUCCUGGCUCAACUGGGAGGGUGCGCCGGAAACUGGAGUGCUUGAGCGUGGGAGAGGAAAGCGGAAUUCCUGGUGUAGCGGUGAAAUGCGUAGAUAUCAGGAGGAACACCUGUGGUGUAGACGGCUUUCUGGACCAUAGCUGACGCUGAGACACGAAAGCGUGGGUAGCAAACAGG
rnacentral:rRNA from 1 species